rnacentral:tRNA from 3 species
UUGGGCCGAGCUGGAUUUGAACCAGCGUAGACGUGUUGUCAACGAAUUUACAGUCCGUCCCCAUUAACCGCUCGGGCAUCGACCC